rnacentral:rRNA from 1 species
GAUGAACGCUGGCGGCGUGCCUAAUACAUGCAAGUAGAACGCUGAAGCUUUGGUGCUUGCACCGAGCGGAUGAGUUGCGAACGGGUGAGUAACGCGUAGGUAACCUGCCUCUUAGCGGGGGAUAACUAUUGGAAACGAUAGCUAAUACCGCAUAAAAGUCGAUAUCGCAUGAUGUUGACUUGAAAGGUGCAAUUGCAUCACUAAGAGAUGGACCUGCGUUGUAUUAGCUAGUUGGUGAGGUAACGGCUCACCAAGGCGACGAUACAUAGCCGACCUGAGAGGGUGAUCGGCCACACUGGGACUGAGACACGGCCCAGACUCCUACGGGAGGCAGCAGUAGGGAAUCUUCGGCAAUGGACGGAAGUCUGACCGAGCAACGCCGCGUGAGUGAAGAAGGUUUUCGGAUCGUAAAGCUCUGUUGUAAGAGAAGAACGAGUGUGAGAGUGGAAAGUUCACACUCGUAGACGGUAACUUAUCCAGAAAGGCAGCGUC